rnacentral:rRNA from 1 species
CCUUGACAUACUAAGAACUUUCCAGAGAUGGAUUGGUGCCUUCGGGAACUUAGAUACAGGUGCUGCAUGGCUGUCGUCAGCUCGUGUCGUGAGAUGUUGGGUUAAGUACCGCAACGAGCGCAACCCUUUUCCUUAUUUGCCAGCGGGUCAUGCCGGGAACUUUAAGGAUACUGCCAGUGACAAACUGGAGGAAGGCGGGGACGACGUCAAGUCAUCAUGGCCCUUACGGCCAGGGCUACACACGUGCUACAAUGGUCGGUACAAAGGGUUGCUACCUCGCGAGAGGAUGCUAAUCUCAAAAAGCCGAUCGUAGUCCGGAUCGCAGUCUGCAACUCGACUGCGUGAAGUCGGAAUCGCUAGUAAUCGCGGAUCAGAAUGCCGCGGUGAAUACGUUCCCGGGCCUUGUACACACCGCCCGUCACACCAUGGGAGUUUGUUGCACCAGAAGUAGGUAGUCUAACCGCAAGGAGGACGCUUACCACGGUGUGGCCGAUGACUGGGGUGAAGUCGUAACAAGGUAGGCGUAGAUGA